CGGGGGAAGGUAGCUUGCUACCGGACCUAGCGGCGGACGGGUGAGUAAUGCUUAGGAAUCUGCCUAUUAGUGGGGGACAACAUCUCGAAAGGGAUGCUAAUACCGCAUACGUCCUACGGGAGAAAGCAGGGGAUCUUCGGACCUUGCGCUAAUAGAUGAGCCUAAGUCGGAUUAGCUAGUUGGUGGGGUAAAGGCCUACCAAGGCGACGAUCUGUAGCGGGUCUGAGAGGAUGAUCCGCCACACUGGGACUGAGACACGGCCCAGACUCCUACGGGAGGCAGCAGUGGGGAAUAUUGGACAAUGGGGGGAACCCUGAUCCAGCCAUGCCGCGUGUGUGAAGAAGGCCUUAUGGUUGUAAAGCACUUUAAGCGAGGAGGAGGCUACUCUAGUUAAUACCUAGGGAUAGUGGACGUUACUCGCAGAAUAAGCACCGGCUAACUCUGUGCCAGCACCGCGGGUAAUAAA
rnacentral:rRNA from 1 species